CAGUAGCCGCGGUAAAACGUAGGGUGCAAGCGUUAAUCGGAAUUACUGGGCGUAAAGCGUGCGCAGGCGGUUAUAUAAGACAGAUGUGAAAUCCCCGGGCUCAACCUGGGAACUGCAUUUGUGACUGUAUAGCUAGAGUACGGCAGAGGGGGAUGGAAUUCCGCGUGUAGCAGUGAAAUGCGUAGAUAUGCGGAGGAACACCGAUGGCGAAGGCAAUCCCCUGGGCCUGUACUGACGCUCAUGCACGAAAGCGUGGGGAGCAAACAGGAUUAGAUACCCCCGUAGUCCCUGUCUCUUAUAC
rnacentral:rRNA from 1 species